CGAGAUCUUUUUCUCCAGUGGAGACUGUUGACCUACAGCAACCCUAGGGUCCUUAGACGAUUUCGCCCAGGCCAAU
rfam:Oryctolagus cuniculus chromosome 12, whole genome shotgun sequence.